rnacentral:rRNA from 1 species
UUGAAAGGAGAUUGCCAUUGAUAAACCGAAGGAAGGUGGGGAUGAAGUCAAGUCACCAUGGCCCUUACGGCCAGGGCUACACACGUGCUACAAUGGCGUAUACAAAGAGAAGCGAACUCGCGAGAGCAAGCGGACCUCAUAAAGUACGUCGUAGUCCGGAUCGGAGUAUUCAACUCGACUCCGUGAAGUCGGAAGCGCUAGUAAUCGUGGAUCAGAAUGCCACGGUGAAUACGUUCCCGGGCCUUGUACACACCG